rnacentral:rRNA from 1 species
UACGGAGGGGGCGAGCGUUGUUCGGAAUUACUGGGCGUAAAGGGCGCGUAGGCGGCCGAUCAAGUCAGAUGUGAAAGUCCUGGGCUUAACCUGGGGACUGCAUUUGAUACUGAUUGGCUUGAAUGCAGGAGAGGAUAGCGGAAUUCCCAGUGUAGAGGUGAAAUUCGUAGAUAUUGGGAAGAACACCGGUGGCGAAGGCGGCUAUCUGGACUGUGAUUGACGCUGAGGCGCGAAAGCGUGGGGAGCAAACAGG